rnacentral:rRNA from 1 species
GAUGAACGCUGGCGGCGUGCCUAAUACAUGCAAGUCGAGCGAAUGGAUUAAGAGCUUGCUCUUAUGAAGUUAGCGGCGGACGGGUGAGUAACACGUGGGUAACCUGCCCAUAAGACUGGGAUAACUCCGGGAAACCGGGGCUAAUACCGGAUAACAUUUUGAACCGCAUGGUUCGAAAUUGAAAGGCGGCUUCGGCUGUCACUUAUGGAUGGACCCGGGUCGCAUUAGCUAGUUGGUGAGGUAACGGCUCACCAAGGCAACGAUGCGUAGCCGAGCGGAGAGGUAGAUCGGCCACACUGGGACUGAGACACGGCCCAGACGCCUACGGGAGGCAGCAGUAGGGAAUCUUCCGCAAUGGACGAAAGUCUGACGGAGCAACGCCGCGUGAGUGAUGAAGGCUUUCGGGUCGUAAAACUCUGUUGUUAGGGAAGAACAAGUGCUAGUUGAAUAAGCUGGCACCUUGACGGUACCUAACCAGAAAGCCACGGCUAACUACGUGCCAGCCGCCGCGGUAA